AGGACGAACGCUGGCGGCGUGCUUAACACAUGCAAGUCGAGCGGUAAGGCCCUUUCGGGGGUACACGAGCGGCGAACGGGUGAGUAACACGUGGGUGACCUGCCCUUAGCUCUGGGAUAAGCCUGGGAAACUGGGUCUAAUACCGGAUAUGACCUCGCGAUGCAUGUCGUGGGGUGGAAAGCCUUGUGCGGCUAGGGGAUGGGCCCGCGGCCUAUCAGCUUGUUGGUGGGGUGAUGGCCUACCAAGGCGACGACGGGUAGCCGGCCUGAGAGGGCGACCGGCCACACUGGGACUGAGACACGGCCCAGACUCCUACGGGAGGCAGCAGUGGGGAAUCUUGCGCAAUGGGCGAAAGCCUGACGCAGCGACGCCGCGUGAGGGAUGACGGCCUUCGGGUUGUAAACCUCUUUCAGCCUGACGAAGCGAAAGUGACGGUAGGGCGAGAAGAAGCACCGGCCAACUACGCGCCAGCAGCCGCGGUAA
rnacentral:rRNA from 1 species